rnacentral:lncRNA from 1 species
GCCCGCGCCAGGUCUAGGUUCUCGUCGCUGUACUUGCCCCACGGGAUGGACGUCAGCCAGUCCAGGUAGUUGCAGGUGACGUUAAACUCGGAGGAAUGGUUGUCCAGCAGGCCCAGCUUGCUCAGCUCCUCGUCCACCACGUCCAUGACGUGCUUGGGGACCACGAGCUCCUUAAGCCGCUCACGGAACUUCUUCUCGAUGGCGUCCUUGUCAUCCUUCUCCAGGCCCAGCUCCUCAGCUGCUCCUGCAGCAGGUACUUGCGGUGUGUCUGCUUGAUCUUCUCCUCCACCUCUCCGCCCAGGCGCUGCUGCAGCUUGCUCAGUUCAAACUCCUUUUUGAGAAGGGACAGGGCCUUAUACAGCCGCUUUGGAAUCUUGUAGAGUGGGUUCAAGGCGAUGAUGUCCCUGAUGGUCUUCACGAUCUCCGCAGUCAGAGCCUUCACCUCCUCCGGGACCUGGAAGUCCUCGUGGGCCACGUUCUCCACCUCCACCAUAAGCACCUCGCCAGCAGGGCUGGGACCAGGCCCCACCACCACCUCCAGCGGCUGCUUGGUGGCCCCGUCCUCUUCUGCCUCUUUCUUGCCCCGCUUGGGCUUCUUGCGCAGCUUCUGCUUGUUCUCGCCCUCGGGGUCCUCGGGGUCUACCUCCAACUGUCGGUUGAUGUGAACCCUCCGGUGUCCCAUGACGAUCAUGUGCAGCUUGUCCCCCAGGUCCUACAUUUCGUGGAUCUGCAUGAAUGUCCCCGUGUGGUAGAUCUCAUCCAGGCUCUCAACCACGUCGGACUCAUUGUUGUCAUCUUUCUUUAGAAAGACGCCGGCAUACGGCUGGGCAAGGCGGACUUUCCUUCUUAGCAGCUCAACCAGCUUCUUAUUUUUAACCUCAACAAUCUUGAUAAAGCGUGGGAACACUGGGUUGCGAGUAACGGCGAUGAGUGGCAGGUGCGGGAAUACGUCCGGGAUCAUCAUCCCGGCGUCAGCGCCGUUAUGACAGGGCCCUCCCCAACGCCCGCGCUGCUUCCCACGCCCGAGGCCCGGUCCUCCGCGCCGCCCUCGGAGGCAUCCUCGCCUCCCGAGAAGGCGCCCCCGCCGCUGCGGUUGUUCGCCUCCCAAAGUCCCCGCCAGUGGCCCGCGGCAGCGGGGCUUUGGCCCCACAGCGCCCACGGAGGCGAGGCAUCGCAGGCCCCCCACAAGUGCUGAGAAAUAUUGCCUUUUUUUUUUUUUUUUUCUUCAGUCACAGUUUCA